UGGUACCCUUUGUACACACCGCCCGUCGCUACUACCGAUUGAAUGGCUUAGUGAGAUCCUCGGAUGGGUCCCGGCGUGCCCGGCAACGAGCGCGCUGGUGUGCCGAGAAGACGAUCGAACUUGAUCAUUUAGAGGAAGUAAAAGUCGUAACAAGGUUUCCGUAGGUGAACCUGCGGAAGGAUCAUUACCGAGAGACCAAAAACUGUCACACCAGACACGAGGCAAAGCCAGAGGGUCCCCCGGCGCCGGGAGGGCCCGAGUGGAACCGGUACCGACAUGCGGCCCGCACAGCGUGCGUUUGGCCGGGGCGGGGAGCAAAACUCCCGCAGCUCGACGGUCUCCAGGGGGGGUACCUGUGCCGCUCGCAGCCUGAAGCGGCGACAGCCCCGACUCCUUGGGCGAGGUUUAAAGAGCGGGCCCCGCCUGCGCCUCCGCCCCCCCUCCGUCGAACCGCGGGUCUCGCCUUGGGCCGCGGGUCGCGCUUUUUUUCGCAGUCUUUGGCAACGGUCAGUGGAAAGAAAAGCGAAACUUGUAAGAGAAACUCAGAAAACAACUCUGAGCGGUGGAUCACUCGGCUCGUGCGUCGAUGAAGAGCGCAGCCAGCUGCGAGAAGUGAUGUGAAUUGCAGGACACAUUGAACAUCGACGACUUGAACGCACUUUGCGGUCUCGGGUAACUCCCGGGACCACGCCUGUCUCAGGGUCGAUUGCAGUCUGACCUCGCUCUCCGCCUCGAGCCCCGAACACGGGGGCUCAAGAGAGCGCCUUGGGCCCGGUCGCAGCUCCCCUCCUCCCCCUCCUCCCGUCCGGCCUUGUUCGGGAGAGGGGGGGAAACGGAGAGCUCCGUCCCCUCAAGUUCAGACCUCAGAGUGACGCAGAGCCGGUCUCCCCACCCCGCCCGUCCGUCCGAAACGCCUCUUUCGGACGAUGGGGAGGUCGCACGCUACACGUCCUCAGUUCCGUCGCGCGGAGCCCUGCCACGGCCUAUCUUUUGGUGGCGAGCUACGCGGGUCGGCUGUACGUGCGAGGCUCUGGUCCGCCGGUCCCCCGGAAAAGAACACAAUCUCCUCGACCUGAGAUCAGACGAGAUUACCCGCUGAACUUAAGCAUAUCAAUAAGCGGAGGAAAAGAAACUAACAAGGAUUCCCUCAGUAACGGCGAGUGAAGCGGGAAGAGCCCAGCGCCGAAUCCCCCCGGCCCCUGCCGGGCGGGAACUGUGGCGUUAGGGACGUCGAUCGACCGUCGGCCACGGAGUCCGAGUCCUCCUGAUCGGGGCCUUUCCCAGAGCGGGUGUCAGGCCUCUACUGGCUCCGGGCCGGCGGCCGUCUCGGCUGUCCCAAGAGUCGGGUUGCUUGGGACUGCAGCCCAAAGCAAUCGAAU
rnacentral:rRNA from 1 species